rnacentral:rRNA from 1 species
GGGUGAGUAACACGUGGAUAACCUACCUAUAAGACUGGGAUAACUUCGGGAAACCGGAGCUAAUACCGGAUAAUAUUUUGAACCGCAUGGUUCAAAAGUGAAAGACGGUAUUGCUGUCACUUAUAGAUGGAUCCGCGCUGCAUUAGCUAGUUGGUAAGGUAACGGCUUACCAAGGCAACGAUGCAUAGCCGACCUGAGAGGGUGAUCGGCCACACUGGAACUGAGACACGGUCAAG